ensembl:lncRNA
UUUGGUUUCACUUUAGUACAUGCUGUACAGACUGCUGCCACAUCGGCUGGCUAGGUCGCUCUCCUCCUUGCCGAAGCCCCAGCCACAGCUGUCUCUGCUCCUACAGUCUCUGCCUCCAAGAUUAUGGCUGUGCCUCCCACAUAUGUUGACCUUGGCAAGGCUGCUAGUGAUAUCUUCACUAAGGUCUUAAUAAUUCUUGAAAAGAAGUCAGAGAAUGAAUUGGAAUUCACCAGCUCUGGCUCAACCAACACAGAGACCAUAAAAGUAAACGACAGCCUGGAAACCAAGUACUGAUGGAUAGAGUGCCUUUCCAGAGAAGGGGCACACAGACAACACCCUGUGCACCGAAAUCACCAUUAAAGCCCAGCUGACGGGUGGACUGAAGCUGACAUUUGAUUCAUCUUUCUGCCUAACACUGGGAGGAAAUGCUGAAAUCAAGACCUGCUAAAGAAAGGGUGUAUCAACCUGAUAUAUGAUGUCAACUUUGACAUUGCUGGGCCCUCGAUCAGUGCUACUCUGGUGCUUGGAUAUGAGGCCUAGCUGGAUGGCUACCAGAAGAAUUUUGAGAUCUCGAAGUCCCAAGUGACCUAAAGCAACUUUGCAGUUGGCUAUAAGAGAGUUGAAUUUAAGCUAGUGUGAAUGAUGGGGCGGAGUUUGGUGGCUCCAUUUAUCAGAAGGUGAACAAGGAGUUGGAGGCUGCUGUCAAUCUUGCCUGGACAGCAGGAACCAAUAAUACUCUCUUUGGAAUAACAACCAAGUGUCAGGUUGACCCUGAUUCCUCUUUUUGGCAAAGGAAACAACUCUACCCUGAUUGACUUAGGGUCUACUCAAAUCCUAAAGCAAGGUGUCAGACUAAACCUGUCACCUCUGCUGGAUGGCAGGAUGUGGGUGGCCAUAAGUUUGGUCUACAACUGAAAUCCCAAGCAAAAAUGAAUAUUGUGCAAUCGUUAAUUUUAAAUUAUUUUGUGGCAUAGCUGCCUUCAGAAUUUAAUGUCCCUUUUAAUGUUGUAUGUUGGGCAUGUUAAAAUUGAUAAAUUUCACGUUAGAUGUACAAGCUAAUGAUGACUCUUCUUAACAUUUCACAGAUAGAGUAGAAACUCCAUUCCAGAAAUGGUCAUGUUAGCUGUAGACUUGGGUUGGGGAGGAACACCUCUAAGGAGGCCAGACCGAAAGUGGAAGCUGGGAAUAUGCAAGCUCUUUAUAAAUCCAUCCACAGGUGGCUUCCUGUGCCUCUAACCUUGGUGUCAUAAUCCUAAUUGCUGAGAAGCAUAUGCACACCUAUUAGAAAGAAACUGAUUUUAUACAGAUUUCCAUGCCCUAUUUCCAUUCUAGACCACCACUUACCUGUUUUACACCAAAAGUAGUCUUCAGUUCUUUCUUUUUUCUUUCUUUUGAUGCAAACAGCAAGAAGCUUUAUUGCAGUUGUUUAAUGAGCUAACCCCAUUAGCUCGGGCCUUUCAUCCAUUCACCAUGGCCGAUGACUGGAAAAAGACCCCAAAAAAACACAGGACAAAGAUCUUAUAGGGUAGGGUAAGGGGAGUGUCUAGGGGUACACACAGGCUCAGGAUUGGUGUGCCUCCAGGCUUGGAGAACUUGCCUUGUGUUGAUUGGUCAACUGGUUGUUAUGGCCUCUAGGAACUCGCAGGGUGGUUGCUAUGCUCUGCAUGUCAUUGCUGUGCACUUGUCCAUAAAGCACACUCAGAGCCAUAAAGCAUAGCACCACCAGGUAACUUCUGAUUGAUUCCUUGCCACGAGGCAGGCAUCUGACCUCCUAGUGACCAAGGCAAGGUCAGGCAAGCACAUGUUAGGCUGUUAUGGCUGCCAAAAUGGGGAGCUGGUCUCUUCUUUCCCCCAUUUUCUUUUUAGAUAUUCCAAUCAUGGAAUUGCUGUCUCUCUGGCAUCCUCAUCAUGGAGUGAGUGAGUGAUAUUGGCAUGCCCUAUUUAUGGGAGUUUAUUUUGACUUAGCAUUUCAACCAGGGAAAAUGGGCGACAUAUUAUUUCCCAUGCUAAUUCCUGCUGACUUUGGGACAAAGUUAGGGACCCAAGAAGACUGACAUGCUAGUCAAAAGCAAAAAGGAAAUUCAGGUAAUGGGGAAGCAUCUGGUUGACAGACUCUGUUGAAGAGACAGGGGGUGUCCACAUCAGCUGGACUGGUUCACAUCCACAGCAAGUCCAGGGCACACAGUUCUUUAGGGGCAGGCAUAGUCAGCAACUGAUACUCAGAUGUGUCUGCCAGAAGCAGAAACCCGUUUAAGACAUGUUUAAACUGGGAACAGAAGUUAAAACUUAUUUAUUGAAACUCACAGUGCAAAUAAAAGCAGAUAUCUGGAUAUCUGUUUAAACAGCAGGAGCAUAUUUAUUACUUUGAGUCCUGGAAACACUAUAAAUUUGGGUUCCAUGUCUCUCUUCUACAGAUAGAAGAAAUCUCUCACCUUUUAGGCCUGGCGAAGAUUGCUGUUCUUUGAUACUUCUGCCUCCAAAGCUAAUGGAGAGACUUGGCUGAAGAUAAAACAUAAGUGAGUGAUUGCCAGAAUUCAGAGGCCUCAUCCCUUUUUUCCAUGAAGAAAAGAUCACACAAGCAAAACAAGAGACUAAAAUUAAAGAUACAACCACUGCAGCCUCCAUUCACCUGGGAGGUGAGAAGCCAGAAAUAGGAAUAUCUUAUCAUCUCUCUGGUGUUAGUCUCACCACAUACCUCAGCCUUCUGCUGAUUCUCUAUAUUUGCAAAAUCCAACAGAAAAAAACAUGACGAAUAAGCACAGCUGACAGUAUUCAGAGAUGAUAUGAACACAUGGUCUUAUAGCAUUAAGUCAUCUUAUAGGAAAUGAUGCAGAUAUCUUAUUUGAACUACUUAUGUACUUAUCAGAUUCUCCAAAUUGUCUGAAUUUGUGAAAUGUUGUCUUUGUAUAAUGCUACAUUCUUUCAAGAAAGUCACAUCACAUAAAGUGAACAUAGGCAUGAAUGAAGAGCUUAGGUAUAAAAAUUGACAUGUAUAACUCAGGCAUCAAAACCAACUUCAGUAACAUCUGCUGAAUGUUAAAUGCAUCUCUAGUACUAGAGAAACAAACGUUACCUGGCCUUCUUGAACCACAAAUGUUGUGCUGAAAUCAGCACUGUAGACCAGUAGUGACAGUGUUUUAUUCUUUAUCUCUGAAAAACACUGAAUGAGUACAGGAUCUGAACCAUCUGGACAGAUGAAAGGAGACCCAGGGCU